GGGGUGACCCACCGGGGUGGGGGGCUCCGGUCCACACAGGGGGGGGGCGUCAGGCCGGCCCGUCAUGAAGGAACACAAGAAGAUACAGAGAGAGAGAAGAGAGAACAGGAUGGCCCUAAUGCACCACGCCCACAAGGGCUCUGGACCCACUGGGACCCACUGGGUCCUACUUGGACGCGACCCACUGGGACCCACUGGGAGGGUCCCACUGGGACCCACUGGAACCCACUGGGUCCUACUGGGACCCACUGGGACCCACUGGGACCCACUGGGUCCUACUGGGACGCGACUUACUGGGACCCACUGGGAGGCGGUUGGGGGGGGCAGAAGAGCUGUAUUUGGUCAGAGGUCAACACGGUUCCAGGACACCCCGGGUCCCAGAGCAGACCUGAAGGGACUUCCUAAUCAUUUGAAAUGCGAUCUUCCUCGGCCAGACCCUCUGGAGCCGGGAGGAGGCCCGGGACCGCCAUAGGACCCUCAGGGCAGGAGAGAGGGGUUUCCUGGGGUCUGACUCGACAGGUUGGGCUCCUAGAGGGUCCCCAGACCACGGCCCAUCAGCUCUGGCUCUUUUUUACACAUUAUUCUGCGAUGUCUGCUCCUCCUGCUCCAGCUCCUGCUCUUCCUCCACCCUCCUACCUCUCUGCUCCACCCCCUCACGCUGGGACACGCCCACUCCACUACUAAGUAUAUGCAAACAAAAUAAGGACUGUGUGUCAUGAUAUAUAUUAUUACACUCUCACUGGCGUAGUGCUGCAUGUAUGGACCAGACCCAUGUACUAGCCCAGCUCGCCCGCACUGGGAGGAAGAAAACACUGCGUCUCUGUGCUUUGUUUACUGUUUCCAUGACAACUAGCCAUAUUAGCUCCUAGCUCAACGUGUCGCUAGUCACAUUAGCUCCUUAGCUCCUAGCUUCACAUCAUAGCAUUAAUUCUUACUGAUGAGCAGCAGAAACCAACGUGGCAGUUUGACUCGUGACUGUUGAGUCCAUCGUUCAUACUCUCCUCACUGGGAGCACUGGGAUGAGCCGAACCAGCGCAGAGACCAGCGCCCUGCGGUCGUUAGGGCAGUAUGAAGGGAGAGCUCUGCGGCAGCAGGGAGCCUGCUAGCUCCCUAACCCUAACCCUAACCUCUAGCCCAACACGCUUGAUACGCAAUGCACACUCAAAAAGUAUUCGAACAAAUAUAGAGUCACUAAUUCAAUAUCUUCUGAGCACAAAAAAGACAGUUCAUGACGUGGACGUUCAUUCAGAGCUCCAGCCCGGUCUCCUGGUCACCUGACUGCACGUCCACAGCAGACAGCCGGGCUCAGAGAACAGGAAAGGAACUGGGAGCCCAGCCGUGGCCGUCUGGUCGUACUGCUCCUCCCAGGACCCCACAGCCACUGAACCCAUUGAGGGACGCCAGGGUCCAGGGCCCUAGGUCCAGGGCCCUAACCCAGGGCCCUGGGCUAGGGGCGAAGAGAAGCCUGCUGUGAGCCAGUAGAGCAGGAGAGACGGGAGGGGAGGAGAUGAAGGUCAGCCUAGAGACUAGCUGCUCAGUCGGGACGGUCGUUUCUCCUGGUCCGGGUAGAGAGGUGGGGGGUUGUCUCUCUGAAGGUGAACCUGGUCUGGGUAGAGAGGUGGGGGGUUGUCUCUCUGAAGGUGAACCUGGUCUGGGUAGAGGGGUGGGGGGUUGUCUCUCUGAAGGUGAUGUGGUACCUGGUCUGGGUAGAGAGGUGGGGGGUUGUCUCUCUGAAGGUGAUGUGGUACCUGGUCUGGGUAGAGAGGUGGGGGGUUGUCUCUCUGAAGGUGAUGUGGUACCUGGUCUGGGUAGAGAGGUGGGGGGUUGUCUCUCUGAAGGUGAUGUGGUACCUGGUACACAACUCACUGGACCUGCUCAGCUCCCAAUCUUUCCCUUUUGGACAAUCACGGUUUCAAAAGCUCUUGUUGGUUUGAAAAAGACCUUCAAAAAGGCAAACACACCCUCCUACGCACAGACAUUUGUUUUUGUUUCAUACUUCCAGAGACUGUGUUGAUAAUUACAAAGGACUUCCAUUUAAUGAUUGCAAUGUCAUUUGUGUUUUUUUAAGUAGUUACUUUUUUAGGUGAAUAUGUUUUUCUAAUUCAAGCCUUUCUUUGCUGGUGAGGUACACGUUGUACAUCAAAACAGUGAUCACUAGGUGCAGUGAUGUACAUUCUGUCUGCUUCAGUCUUGUUUUUAUUGGGGUUGGAUUGUGUGGAAACCAUUAACUGAUUGUUGAAUCUUUUUUUACCAUAUCAGCCUCAUAGAUAACACCGCUCUGUGCCACACACGCACACGCACACACACACACACACACACACACACACACACACACACACAGACCUGCAUAUGUGUAUGUACACACACACACACGUAUCUCUAACUACAUACAUGCACAGUUUGUGUGCAUGCUCAGCUGUAGAGACACAAAAGCUCCAUUCAUGAGACGCUUUGAAUAAUCCAACGCUUGAAACCACUGCCGCCGCCCACAUACACAAGACCCCAGAGGACACGCCCCUCACACACUAGUAUGACAUCACAGGACACGCCCCUCACACACUAGUAUGACAUCACAGGACACGCCCCUCACACACUAAUAUGACAUCACAGGACACGCCCCUCACACACUAGUAUGACAUCACAGGACACGCCCCUCACACACUAGUAUGACAUCACAGGACACGCCCCUCACACACCAAUAUGACAUCACAGGACAUAUCCCUGAGACACUAGUAUGACAUCACAAGACACGCCCCUCACACACUAAUAUGACAUCACAGGACACGCCCCUGACACACUAGUAUGACAUCACAGGACACGCCCCUGACACACUAGUAUGACAUCACAGGACACGCUUCUCACACACUAGUAUGCAAGCAGGAGUACAGUACCAUGUACAGCUGGACCAUAUACAGAGUGGACCAUGUACAUAGUGGACCAUGUACAGAGUGGACCAUGUAGAGAGGACCAUGUACCGCGUUCCCAUGGGGGGUGCAUUCAUGUUUACGCUCUGUGUUGCUCUCAGGAGAAACGCUGCCUCCACAUGUCACAUGUCAUACUUCUGUCACAACAUAUCAUGCUACUUGCCUCUCACGUAUGCUAUGACGCCAUCCCUCUCUUAAACACUGUACCUUCUCCCCCCAUGCCAAAGCGAGUCAUUUGAGGAGAGUCUAUAGCCACAUUUCGACAUGGCGAACGCACACAGCUACACAGGUGAGCAGGUGGAGGCUUCCAUUUUGCCGAUGCAAAUAUGUUGAAAGAAAGAUAAUCAACUAAAUGUGAAAAAGGCUGGAUUUACUCAGGAAACAAAAGGAAUCUCAUCUCAUUCCCCUGUGAUCCAAACUGGACCGGUUGUUGCUAUGACACAUGAAACGAGACGACACAACUUUUGGCUUUGUCUUCUUUCAUUUGAGCAUGAACGCGUUGUUCGAACCUCCCGCCAUUGAGGAGGUAGCGGCCACCAGGUGGCAGCAAAGUCUCCUCAUCAAUAAAGAAACUGCAGCAUUAAGAGAACAUUUCAGUUGUAGCAAGAAUACACUUUCUUCCUCCUUCCCCCAACUAAAUGUGUGUUAUCAAAGCAAUAUGGCCACCGAUAUAUCCCACCUCUGCACUGUUGGAGCUUAGCGCUAGGCACUUACUUUGUAUUGCGUUAAAAAGCCAAUGUCAAGAAAAGAAUCUCGCCAGUUUGUCGUAUGAGUUUUGAAUGUUUCAAGACUCCAUGUUCUGUUAUGGCUUUACAUAAUCUCUAGAGCGUUAACGAUGAUAAGCGAUAAACCUUGAUUAAAUGUAGCUUUUGUUAUAUUUCUUUUUCGAAAGGCGGCUAUAAAAUGACAAUGAACUAUAUCAAUAAAAUGUGUAAAAAUAUGA